UCUUCUGACCCUCUUUGAUUUCUUCAAGAAUACCACCCGUCAGUUUCAACAUACCCAACUUCACACUAUUAGGAGUCUAUUCACAUAUAAAACUCGUGUUUCUUAAUUGCUCGAUCAACUCGAACUCUCGAACCACCAACAUUGACAUAUGCAAAGACUUCCUGCUCAAUGCGUUAGCUACAACAUUAGCCUUAUUCGCAUGGUAACUCAAGGAAAAUCAUAAUCAUUCAG
rnacentral:lncRNA from 1 species